ACCUGACUGCUAUCGGAUUGAUACUAAGCCAUGCGAGUCAUUGUAGUAAUACAAGGCAGACGGCUCAGUAACGCGUAGUCAACCUAACCUAUGGAUGGGAAUAACCUCGGGAAACUGAGUAUAAUGCCCGAUAGAACAUUAUGCCUGGAAUGGUUUAUGUUCCAAAUGAUUUAUCGCCGUAGGGUGGGACUGCGGCCUAUCAGUUUGUUGGUGAGGUAAUGGCCCACCAAGACUAUUACAGGUACGGGCUCUGAGAGGAGUGGCCCGGAGAUGGGUACUGAGACACGGACCCAGGCCCUAUGGGGCGCAGCAGGCGAGAAAACUUUGCAAUGUGCGAAAGCACGACAAGGUUAAUCCGAGUGGUUUCUGCUAAAGGAACCUUUUGUCGGUCCUAGAAACACCGAUGAAUAAGGGGUGGGCAAGUUCUGGUGUCAGCCGCCGCGGUAAAACCAGCACCUCAAGUGGUCAGGAUGAUUAUUGGGCCUAAAGCAUCCGUAGCCGGCUCUGUAAGUUUUCGGUUAAAUCUGUACGCUUAACGUACAGGCUGCCGGGAAUACUGCAAAGCUAGGGAGUGGGAGAGGUAGACGGUACUCGGUAGGAAGGGGUAAAAUCCUUUGAUCUAUUGAUGACCACCUGUGGCGAAGGCGGUCUACCAGAACACGUCCGACGGUGAGGGAUGAAAGCUGGGGGAGCAAACCGGAUUAGAUACCCGGGUAGUCCCAGCUGUAAACUAUGCAAACUCAGUGAUGCAUUGGCUUGUGGCCAAUGCAGUGCUGCAGGGAAGCCGUUAAGUUUGCCGCCUGGGAAGUACGUACGCAAGUAUGAAACUUAAAGGAAUUGGCGGGGGAGCACCACAAGGGGUGAAGCCUGCGGUUC
rnacentral:rRNA from 2 species